rnacentral:rRNA from 1 species
AUACGGAGGGUGCGAGCGUUACUCGGAGUCACUGGGCGUAAAGCGUCCGUAGGCGGUCGGGUAAGUCGGGUGUGAAAGCCCCGGGCUCAACCUGGGAAGUGCACCCGAUACUGCUCGACUCGAGUGCGGGAGAGGAUGGCGGAAUUCCCGGUGUAGCGGUGAAAUGCGUAGAGAGCGGGAGGAACACCAGUGGCGAAGGCGGCCAUCUGGCCCGCAACUGACGCUGAGGGACGAAAGCGUGGGGAGCAAACAGGAUUAGAUACCCUAGUAGUCC